GAUAAACGCUGGCGGCGUGCCUAACACAUGCAAGUCGAACGACGGCACGGGCUUACUCGAUCCUUAGUGGCGGCCGGCUGCGUAACGCUUAGGUGACCUACCCCAACUUGUUGAAUAACUGCCCGAACGGGUGGCUACUACCGCUAGUGGUCGCACGGUCAUUCGGGCGAGUACAGCCGCAGGUCGCACCUGGUGGGGCCGGCUUCCGCUUAGCUGGUUAGUGGGGUAAUGGCUUACAAGGGCGACCAUCGCUAGGUGGCAUGAGAGGACGGUCACCGAGACUGGGACUGAGACACGGUCCGGACUCCUACGGGAGGCAGCAGUCGGGAAUUUUGCUCAAUGGGGGAAACCAUGAAGCAGCAACGGCGCGUGAGGGAUGAAGGCCUUAGGGUUGUAAACCUCUUUUGUCAGGGACGAUGAUGACGGUACCUAGAGAAUAAGCCACGGCUAACUACGUG
rnacentral:rRNA from 1 species